rnacentral:rRNA from 1 species
GUGCACCAGUCGAGAAUUUUUCUCAAUGGGCGAAAGCCCUGAAGGAGCGACGCCGCGUGGAGGAUGAAGGCUUUCGGGUUGUAAACUCCUGUCAUUUGAGAACAAGUGCCAACAAGUAACUACUGUUGGCUUGAUAGUAUCAGAAGAGGAAGGGACGGCUAACUCUGUGCCAGCAAGCCGCGGUAAUACAGAGGUCCCAAGCGUUGUUCGGAUUC